UGGUCACAUGGUGCUACAUUAUGGAACAAUAAAGACAGGAAAAGUCAAUGCCGUUACGUCAUGGGACAGACCAGUAUUCCCAUUUUCUCAUCUACUGCCGGCGAUGGUAUGCCAGUUAGAAUAUUUGUCAGCAACUUAGCACGGAGGACGACAUUCAGAGAUCUUAUAAAAUUAUUUUCCAAGUAUGGAGAAGUGAAGAGUUGUUUCUU